AUAAUAAUAUUAUAAACCCGUCCUACCAUCUAAUCCCGUUCGGUGAAAUUAAACAUUUUUUUUUAAUAAUACUUUUAU
rnacentral:sRNA from 1 species